ACAAGGUGUGGAAAGCUUUCCACAGGGAUGCUGGCCCAUGUUGACUCUACAAGGUGUUGAAAGCCUUCCACAGGGAUGCUGGCCCAUGUUGACUCUACAAGGUGUUGAAAGCGUUCCACAGGGAUGCUGGCCCAUGUUGACUCUACAAGGUGUUGAAAGCGUUCCACAGGGAUGCUGGCCCAUGUUGACUCUACAAGGUGUUGAAAGCGUUCCACAGGGAUGCUGGCCCAUGUUGACUCUACAAGGUGUUGAAAGCGUUCCACAGGGAUGCUGGCCCAUGUUGACUCUACAAGGUGUCGAAAGCGUUCCACAGGGAUGCUGGCCCAUGUUGACUCUACAAGGUGUUGAAAGCGUUCCACAGGGAUGCUGGGCCCAUGUU